rnacentral:lncRNA from 1 species
UUUCUAAAAUAAUAAUCUAGCUUUUGGUGAUCUAUUUAUGAUCAUCUUGAACUUUAUUUACUUAUGUUCAUAUUUUUUUUGUUGCUUAUAGUUGUGCUCGUUAUUUAUUUAAUUAUUAAUUUAUUAUCCGGCAUUGUACUAGACUGCUUGGCGAUCAAUAAUCAAGAGGAUCUGGCAAACUAUGAGUAGAUAGCUAGAUAUGGAAGACGACACACCAAUCUCAUAGAUUUUUUUUUUUUUUUUGCCAUGCUCCACCAUAUGUACAGAUAUAUUUAAGCAUUGCAAGGCUAGCAUUUUACUUUACGUUGAUUGCACAUCAUGCAACUAAGGCCUUGUUUAGAUACACCUAAAAACCCAAAGCUUUACAAGAUUCUCCAUCACAUCGAAUCUCGCGCCACAUGCAUGAAACAUUAAAUAUAGAUAAAAAAGAUAAUUAAUUGCACAGUUUACCUCUAAAUCACGAGACGAAUCUUUUAAGCCUAGUUACUCCAUGAUUGGACAAUGUUUGUAAAAUAAAAACGAAAGUACUACAGUGUCAAAAUCUAAAAAGUUUUUGAAUCUAAAUAAGGCCUAACUAGUCAUGCAAUCAACAUAAUUACAUAAAGUAGAGCACAAAACAAUAAUUUAAAUAAAUAAUGGUGUGAUUACAUGUAAUGAGACAGAAGAAAAUGAACAAAUAAGAUUCAAACAGAGCAUAUAGAUAGCAAUUUUUUUGAAAAAGGUAUACUAGUUCAUAUUUUUCUAAUCUAAUAUUUAGUCAUGAUUUUUAGAGAAUUAAUCAUAUAUAUUUUUCGUUUUUAGAAAAUAGAAAACCACAAGAUGACCAAAUCUAUCUGGUUCCAACAGGUGGAGGAUGUGUGAUACUCGGUUUCGUAGUUCAGCAUUGAAAAUUGAACUGUCAUGUAAGUUGGAGAUUGGAAAAUGGGGGUUGUAUCCAUAGGGUAGCCCCUUGUAGCUUUGUUCUAGCUAGUAGCCUAGUACAACGUUCCCUUCCUUUAUCAACUCUUUGUUAAUUGUUGUUGACUGUGACAUGUAAAACUGUCAGUACCUUGAAAGGAUUUUUAUUGGAGAGGAAAAAAAUAAAAAAGAGCAAUUAAGGAUAUGUGUUAUGGGCUAUUGAUCGAUCCAAAACUUAAGAUAUAAACUAAAAUGGUACAUCAUGUAAUUAAUUUAACAGGAGAAACUAAGAGGAUAUUUGGUUGG